rnacentral:lncRNA from 1 species
UUUGUUCAGCAGUUUUCAGCACAACAGAAUUGCCACAUGCUAACGCAGGCCCUACUUUCCAUGCAAACAUUAGCAAAGGAAAAUUCCAUGGUAUGAUCUGCCCGGCAACACCAAUUGGUUCAUGCAGUGUCUGGACAUGAUAGGGCCCAUCAGCAGGAACUGUGAGGCCAUGAAUCUUAUCGGCCCAACCUGAAAUUAACAACUUAAAAAAUCUUAAUAAUCUAGUGAAAUAAAUAUAAAAAAAGUAAGUAUCAGAAACCCAGAGAGAUAGUCCUCACCAGCAUAGUAUCUGAAAAGGCGUGCUAGUACUUCUACUUCACCAAUUGCUUGUUCAUAAGUCUUCCCAUUGUCCCAAGUUUCAAGAGCAGCAAGUUCAUCAGUGUUUUUCUCAACCAAAUCAGCCACACGCAACAUUAUCCGUGAUCUUUCCUGGAGAAAAAGAUAGACAGGAAGAAUUAUAUGCUUCGCAACAUAAACAAUACAAGCAAGGUGGAAUACAAGAGAAAAAAUCUGUGAUAGCAACAUAACCAAUGGACAAAAAUGGUUUGCACUGUGUUUACAUAGGCAGUCAUUUUUGGCCAGGGUCCCUCAUCAAAUGCUUUGCGGGCUGCAGAAACUGCACGAUCGACAUCUUCACUUU